AGACCCGAAACCCGGUGAUCUAGCCAUGGGCAGGUUGAAGGUUGGGUAACACUAACUGGAGGACCGAACCGACUAAUGUUGAAAAAUUAGCGGAUGACCUGUGGCUGGGGGUGAAAGGCCAAUCAAACCGGGAGAUAGCUGGUUCUCCCCGAAAGCUAUUUAGGUAGCGCCUCGUGAACUCAUCUCCGGGGGUAGAGCACUGUUUCGGCUAGGGGGCCAUCCCGGCUUACCAACCCGAUGCAAACUGCGAAUACCGGAGAAUGUUAUCACGGGAGACACACGGCGGGUGCUAACGUCCGUCGUGAAGAGGGAAACAACCCAGACCGCCAGCUAAGGUCCCAAAGUCAUGGUUAAGUGGGAAACGAUGUGGGAAGGCCCAGACAGCCAGGAUGUUGGCUUAGAAGCAGCCAUCAUUUAAAGAAAGCGUAAUAGCUCACUGGUCGAGUCGGCCUGCGCGGAAGAUGUAACGGGGCUAAACCAUGCACCGAAGCUGCGGCAGCGACACUUUAGUGUUGUUGGGUAGGGGAGCGUUCUGUAAGCCGUUGAAGGUGUCCUGUGAGGGGUGCUGGAGGUAUCAGAAGUGCGAAUGCUGACAUAAGUAACGAUAAAGCGGGUGAAAAGCCCGCUCGCCGGAAGACCAAGGGUUCCUGUCCAACGUUAAUCGGGGCAGGGUGAGUCGACCCCUAAGGCGAGGCCGAAAGGCGUAGUCGAUGGGAAACGGGUUAAUAUUCCCGUACUUGGUGUUACUGCGAAGGGGGGACGGAGAAGGCUAUGUUGGCCGGGCGACGGUUGUCCCGGUUUAAGCGUGUAGGUGUGUGUUCCAGGUAAAUCCGGUUCACUUUAACACUGAGGCGUGAUGACGAGGCACCACGGUGCUGAAGCAACAAAUGCCCUGCUUCCAGGAAAAGCCUCUAAGCAUCAGGUAACAUCAAAUCGUACCCCAAACCGACACAGGUGGUCAGGUAGAGAAUACCAAGGCGCUUGAGAGAACUCGGGUGAAGGAACUAGGCAAAAUGGUGCCGUAACUUCGGGAGAAGGCACGCUGACACGUAGGUGAAGUGAUUUACUCAUGGAGCUGAAGUCAGUCGAAGAUACCAGCUGGCUGCAACUGUUUAUUAAAAACACAGCACUGUGCAAACACGAAAGUGGACGUAUACGGUGUGACGCCUGCCCGGUGCCGGAAGGUUAAUUGAUGGGGUCAGCGCAAGCGAAGCUCCUGAUCGAAGCCCCGGUAAACGGCGGCCGUAACUAUAACGGUCCUAAGGUAGCGAAAUUCCUUGUCGGGUAAGUUCCGACCUGCACGAAUGGCGUAAUGAUGGCCAGGCUGUCUCCACCCGAGACUCAGUGAAAUUGAACUCGCUGUGAAGAUGCAGUGUACCCGCGGCAAGACGGAAAGACCCCGUGAACCUUUACUAUAGCUUGACACUGAACAUUGAGCCUUGAUGUGUAGGAUAGGUGGGAGGCUUUGAAGCGUGGACGCCAGUCUGCGUGGAGCCGACCUUGAAAUACCACCCUUUAAUGUUUGAUGUUCUAACGUGGACCCGUAAUCCGGGUUGCGGACAGUGUCUGGUGGGUAGUUUGACUGGGGCGGUCUCCUCCUAAAGAGUAACGGAGGAGCACGAAGGUUGGCUAAUCCUGGUCGGACAUCAGGAGGUUAGUGCAAUGGCAUAAGCCAGCUUGACUGCGAGCGUGACGGCGCGAGCAGGUGCGAAAGCAGGUCAUAGUGAUCCGGUGGUUCUGAAUGGAAGGGCCAUCGCUCAACGGAUAAAAGGUACUCCGGGGAUAACAGGCUGAUACCGCCCAAGAGUUCAUAUCGACGGCGGUGUUUGGCACCUCGAUGUCGGCUCAUCACAUCCUGGGGCUGAAGUAGGUCCCAAGGGUAUGGCUGUUCGCCAUUUAAAGUGGUACGCGAGCUGGGUUUAGAACGUCGUGAGACAGUUCGGUCCCUAUCUGCCGUGGGCGCUGGAAGACUGAGGGGGGCUGCUCCUAGUACGAGAGGACCGGAGUGGACGCAUCACUGGUGUUCGGGUUGUCAUGCCAAUGGCACUGCCCGGUAGCUAAAUGCGGAAAAGAUAAGUGCUGAAAGCAUCUAAGCACGAAACUUGCCCCGAGAUGAGUCUUCCCUGAGACUUUGAGUCUCCUGAAGGAACGUUAAAGACGAUGACGUUGAUAGGCCGGGUGUGUAAGCGCAGCGAUGCGUUGAGCUAACCGGUACUAAUGAACCGUGAGG
rnacentral:rRNA from 1 species